AUAAAUGAUAGUACAAAAACUGACAUAUUAUAGUUUCAGUUCUAAGAACAAGAAACACGUGAUCUUCGCGUCAAACCUCCACGUGAAAAAAGCACCUGUAAGCAUUUUACACGUGUUUGUCUUCUUUACUACUUUACACGUGACUGUCUCCUUUCCUUCAUUUGACGCUUAGACAUUGAGGAUGGUUCAUGUUUCUAAACUAUAGAGCCCAUGUUCUUCAAGCAGCUUUGCAAAUGGUUGUCGUAUGCUUAUUUGUCUUUGACAUGAACUAUAUUCAAAUAAUGCUAAGGUGAAUGAGAUUCGUGCUGUAUAUGAGUAAAGCUGAACAACGUGAAUAAAGCACAAAUGAUAGCACUUAAUCAGACUCACUAUAGUUUUUGUUUAUGAAGAAGAUCCAUCCUUAGUGUUAAAACACAUAAUGACAGAAGAAACCGCGAGAUAAGCAAGUUGCAAAAGGAAACAAGUGGUGUAAGCAACUGGGAAAAAGAAUAUGCUUGAACAAGAUUAUUAAAGAAAGAAAGGGAGGUAAAAAACAGGAGUGUGGAGGGAGGAAUAGGGAAAUAUCUCAAAGUGUGCAAAGACUUAGAGAUUAAACAAAACCAGAUUUUUAAAAAAGAAGGGGAUUUUAACUCAUUUUUCUUAUGUUUUCUUCUUUCACUCUGUGUUUCGAAAAUGAUGAAGGUCAAUGUUUAUAGAACCAAUACUAUCAUAUGUCUGUUUUUGUGUGAUUUAAGAACAACGUUGUUUUGAAAUUAAUCAAAAGUGAUGUACUAAACUGACGCAAAAUUUUUUAUGUGACUGAAUCAUACAAUAGUGAACCAAAUUAUGAAUAUUGUGAUUAUGUUUAGUAUAGCAAUUGCGUUUAAAAGGCUUCAGUGUCGUUUUAUAAGUUUUGAGGGUAUGGUAAAAAUUCAGAAAUUGUUAAGAUUUCCAAGGGAUAGAUUUUUCCACUUCUCUCUCAUUAAGCCUUUUGAAUAAAUAAUAUUUAAGUGUAA